rnacentral:rRNA from 1 species
UCAGCAGCCGCGGUAAUACAGAGGGGGCAAGCGUUGUUCGGAAUUAUUGGGCGUAAAGGGUGCGUAGGCGGUGCGGUAAGUCUUUUGUGAAAUCUCCGGGCUCAACUCGGAGUCUGCAGGAGAAACUGCCGUGCUUGAGUAUGGGAGAGGUGAGUGGAAUUCCUGGUGUAGCGGUGAAAUGCGUAGAUAUCAGGAGGAACACCUGUGGCGAAAGCGGCUCACUGGACCAUAACUGACGCUGAGGCACGAAAGCUAGGGGAGCAAACAGGAUUAGAUACCCUGGUAGUCCUAGCCCUAAACGAUGAUUGCUUGGUGUAGCAGGUACCCAAUCCUGCUGUGCCGCAGCUAACGCGUUAAGCAAUCCGCCUGGGGAGUACGGUCGCAAGGCUGAAACUUAAAGGAAUUGACGGGGGCCCGCACAAGAC